AGAGUUUGAUCCUGGCUCAGGAUGAACGCUAGCUACAGGCUUAACACAUGCAAGUCGAGGGGCAUCAAAUUGGUUGCUUGCAACCGAUGUUGGCGACCGGCGCACGGGUGAGUAACGCGUAUCCAACCUUCCCUUUACUCUGGUAUAGCCCAGCGAAAGUUGGAUUAAUACCGGAUGUUAUCGAAAGCUCUCAUGAGACUUUGAUCAAAGAUUUUAUCGGUAAAGGAUGGGGAUGCGUCUGAUUAGGCAGUUGGCGGGGUAACGGCCCACCAAACCUACGAUCAGUAGGGGUUCUGAGAGGAAGGUCCCCCACAUUGGAACUGAGACACGGUCCAAACUCCUACGGGAGGCAGCAGUGAGGAAUAUUGGUCAAUGGACGUAAGUCUGAACCAGCCAAGUAGCGUGCAGGAUGACGGCCCUAUGGGUUGUAAACUGCUUUUAUGCGGGGAUAAAGUGAGGGACGUGUCCCUUUUUGCAGGUACCGCAUGAAUAAGGACCGGCUAAUUCCGUGCCAGCAGCCGCGGUAAUACGGAAGGUCCAGGCGUUAUCCGGAUUUAUUGGGUUUAAAGGGAGCGUAGGCUGGAGAUUAAGUGUGUUGUGAAAUGUAGACGCUCAACGUCUGACUUGCAGCGCAUACUGGUUUCCUUGAGUACGCACAACGUUGGCGGAAUUCGUCGUGUAGCGGUGAAAUGCUUAGAUAUGACGAAGAACUCCGAUUGCGAAGGCAGCUUGCUGUAGCGUAACUGACGCUGAAGCUCGAAAGUGCGGGUAUCGAACAGGAUUAGAUACCCUGGUAGUCCGCACGGUAAACGAUGGAUGCCCGCUGUUAGCGCCUGGCGUUAGCGGCUAAGCGAAAGCAUUAAGCAUCCCACCUGGGGAGUACGCCGGCAACGGUGAAACUCAAAGGAAUUGACGGGGGCCCG
rnacentral:rRNA from 1 species